CGUUGUCAUCGACAACACCCAAUGCUGCCAUGACCUGUAAGGUAGCGCUGUAAAGUGGUCAAACCCCAGUUGCCUCGACCUGAAAUGCAACGCUUUUAGAGCGGUAACCCCCCUGAAUCUUGAAAGCGGGGAUCGCAGUUCACUGCGAUGAAAGGUGCACU
rnacentral:sRNA from 1 species